ACGCUCCGGCUUCUCUACAGGGAAUGAACCUUUCGCCUUUUACUAAAGAUUUCCGUGGAGAGGAGCAUUUACGAGUUCGAUCCAAAGCGCAAACAGCCCUUCCCCUCAGGGAGGGG